ACUCCUACGGGAGGCAGCAGUGGGGAAUAUUGCACAAUGGGCGCAAGCCUGAUGCAGCCAUGCCGCGUGUAUGAAGAAGGCCUUCGGGUUGUAAAGUACUUUCAGCGGGGAGGAAGGCGAUAAGGUUAAUAACCUUGUCGAUUGACGUUACCCGCAGAAGAAGCACCGGCUAACUCCGUGCCAGCAGCCGCGGUAAUACGGAGGGUGCAAGCGUUAAUCGGAAUUACUGGGCGUAAAGCGCACGCAGGCGGUCUGUCAAGUCGGAUGUGAAAUCCCCGGGCUCAACCUGGGAACUGCAUUCGAAACUGGCAGGCUAGAGUCUUGUAGAGGGGGGUAGAAUUCCAGGUGUAGCGGUGAAAUGCGUAGAGAUCUGGAGGAAUACCGGUGGCGAAGGCGGCCCCCUGGACAAAGACUGACGCUCAGGUGCGAAAGCGUGGGGAGCAAACAGGAUUAGAUACCCUUGUAGUCCC
rnacentral:rRNA from 1 species